GACGAACGCUGGCGGCGUGCUUAACACAUGCAAGUCGAACGGAAAGGCCUGCUUUCCCUUGUGGAUUGCGGGUACUCGAGUGGCGAACGGGUGAGUAACACGUGAGUGAUCUGCCCCCAACUUGGGUAUAAGCCUGGGAAACUGGGUCUAAUUCCCGAUAGGACUGCAGGGUGGUGCCUGUGGUGGAAAACGAUUUUCUAGUGGUUGGGGAUGAGCUCGCGGCCUAUCAGCUUGUUGGUGGGGUAAUGGCCUACCAAGGCGGCGACGGGUAGCCGGCCUGAGAGGGUGGACGGCCACAUUGGGACUGAGAUACGGCCCAGACUCCUACGGGAGGCAGCAGUGGGGAAUAUUGCACAAUGGGCGGAAGCCUGAUGCAGCGACGCCGCGUGGGGGAUGACGGCCUUCGGGUUGUAAACUCCUUUCGACCGCGAGGAAGCCACCUGGUUGGAAGGGUGGUGACGGUAGUGGUAGAGGAAGCACCGGCUAACUACGUG
rnacentral:rRNA from 1 species